ensembl:lncRNA
CGUACUACCGCCAAAGUAAACCACGGACUUCACUACGCUAUCCCACAAUGCAACCGGAGUCUGGUAACGAACGAAGAAGAGAUGGCUGACCCGACACCACCAGAAAGACGUCCGAAGCUGAGAUGGAGCGCCUGUAGUUGGUGUCCAACCGAGAGAUCCUAGCACCGAUCCAAGCUAAAAGGUCAUCAAACUGGGCCGGAGUCAACCUCAAAUAGCGCUGGAAGCGGUCGUCAUCCAGACGGAGCUCCUGCAGAAGACGGUGAAAUUCACCGAGCUCUGGACGGCUCUGAAUGGUCUCAUGAACCCAUAAACGACGGGCAUUCUGACGUCUCUCCCUCUUCCACAACAGAAUAAACGGCUGGCUGCCAAUGGUUCCAUCGUGGUCUCAAUCACAACGCAACGAGAGAGUACGCAACCGCUACAAAUGGUGCCGUGACCCGUUCUUCUCUGCCUGUCUGCUGCGUCAUUGAGGAUCGCCAUUCAACACGUGGCACGUGAGCUCCGACGACGUGGCCGUGCAGUGUGCAUGAUGAAGCUGGUCAUCAAGGCCAAAGACGAACGCUCUACCUCUCUAGACAGAGAUUCUACUGGCAAGGCAUGGAGAGAGACGUGAAGGAAUACGUGCGGUGUUGUCGCCGCUGUGUAUUUAGCAAGUCUCCAGAGCCGGAGGGCAGGGCGCCACUCGAGAGCAUAGUGACAUCUAGGCCUCUCGAGUUGGUUUGCAUUGACUUUUGGUCGGCUG